rnacentral:rRNA from 1 species
CAGUAGCCACGGGAAUACGGAGGGUGCAAGCGUUAUCCGGAUUUAUUGGGUUUAAAGGGUCCGUAGGCGGAUCUGUAAGUCAGUGGUGAAAUCUCACAGCUUAACUGUGAAACUGCCAUUGAUACUGCAGGUCUUGAGUAAAUUUGAAGUGGCUGGAAUAAGUAGUGUAGCGGUGAAAUGCAUAGAUAUUACUUAGAACACCAAUUGCGAAGGCAGGUCACUAAGAUUUAACUGACGCUGAUGGACGAAAGCGUGGGGAGCGAACAGGAUUAGAUACCCGUGUAGUCCCUGUCUCUUAUAC